UACGUAGGGUGCGAGCGUUAAUCGGAAUUACUGGGCGUAAAGUGUGCGCAGGCGGCCGCGCAAGUCGAGUGUGAAAGCCCCGGGCUUAACUUGGGAAUUGCGCUCGAAACUACGUGGCUGGAGUGUGGCAGAGGAAGGUGGAAUUCCACGUGUAGCGGUGAAAUGCGUAGAGAUGUGGAGGAACACCAAUGGCGAAGGCAGCCUUCUGGGCUAACACUGACGCUCAUGCACGAAAGCGUGGGGAGCAAACAGG
rnacentral:rRNA from 1 species